GUACUUACCCGACAAGGAUGCAUCAUAUUUGAGGGUGAGUCUCAUCACUGGCACUUCAGGUAGGCUGACUCCUGCAAUUUCCCCAGAUCCAAGGAACUUAACUGUAAAAUUUGUGAUGUGGGAGAAUGUUUUUGUUCUUUUUCCCG
rnacentral:snRNA from 13 species